GCUCUAGUAUGGGUCAAGGAGGUAGUGUAGGGUUAGGGAGUAAUGUGGCGUCGGUGCAAACGCAGGCGGGGGGGGUGGCGGAUGGAGAAACGGUGCGGCUGGAUGAUAAAGCAAGAGGGGAGGUAUAUGUCUGCUUUGAGGGUCCAUUGGGGGCUCAUUUAAAGCAGGAGGUAAGGGAGCGUAUUUGGAAGGGUGAAUAUGUAGACAUUUUUUCUUUGCUCCCAUUGGAUAAGUUUAACCUGGAUAGGUUAUGGAAGGAAGAGGGUAAAGAAGAGAAG